AGUGAACGCUGGCGGUAGGCCUAACACAUGCAAGUCGAACGGCAGCACAGAGGAGCUUGCUCCUUGGGUGGCGAGUGGCGGACGGGUGAGGAAUACAUCGGAAUCUACUCUGUCGUGGGGGAUAACGUAGGGAAACUUACGCUAAUACCGCAUACGACCUACGGGUGAAAGCAGGGGACCUUCGGGCCUUGCGCGAUUGAAUGAGCCGAUGUCGGAUUAGCUAGUUGGCGGGGUAAAGGCCCACCAAGGCGACGAUCCGUAGCUGGUCUGAGAGGGUGAUCAGCCAGACGGGAACUGAGACACGGUCCAGACUCCUACGGGAGGCAGCAGUGGGGAAUAUUGGACAAUGGGCGCAAGCCUGAUCCAGCCAUACCGCGUGGGUGAAGAAGGCCUUCGGGUUGUAAAGCCCUUUUGUUGGGAAAGAAAUCCAGCUGGCUAAUACCCGGUUGGGAUGACGGUACCCAAAGAAUAAGCACCGGCUAACUUCGUGCCAGCAGCCGCCGUAA
rnacentral:rRNA from 1 species